CAGGAAGUCAAAUCAGGUUUUCCUUUCUCAUCAGAAGCACCACUGAGCUUUCUGUUUGCAAGUUGACUAGAAGAUGGAACAUUAUUAUACCAUGAUGAAUGAAGCUGAUCCACAUUUAUUACUUGUCUCUUCUAUGGGCGAAGUCAGCGAUACAUGGAAACAUCAUUCUUAACCAGGGACCUUGUUUCAGCUAUCUGUUCCCUCCUUCUUCAAUCUUUCCUUUCUUCUACUGUGUGUGUGUGUAAAUUGAAAGGAACCUUUAGCUG